GGAGGCAUAGCUCAGCUGGAUAGAGCAUUUGGCUACGAACCAAAAGGUCGGGGGUUCGAAUCCUCCUGCCUCCACCA
rnacentral:tRNA from 1 species